UGGCCCCACAGGUGUGGGAACGCGGCCCGGCAGCCGCCCCCGGCUCUGCAAACCGGCACGGUAAAGUCACGCUGGUUCGUCAGGCCUCAGCAGAGCGUUCGGCUGAGCUUGGUCUCGAGGAGCCUGCGUGGCUCUGUCCCAGGGGAUGGUGCGACGGUGCCGGGGUUGGCUGCGAUAGUGGAGUGGCCCCAUGUGUGACUGCCCCUCUGCUCCCCCUGCCCCCUUUCCUUGGGCUCACAGGUUUUGGGAUGCCAGUCAGCCCCUGUCUGGACUGUUACCUCCAACCACUGAGUCUUUGUUUGUUCAGGCCUAGGGAAGGAGCAGCAGCAGGUGAGCUUGAAGGCCUGGGAGGGAUGCAAAGGAGAAGAGGAAGGCGGUGGAGACAAUGCACUGCCUUUGGUUCCUGGCCUGCUGGUGGAAGACGAGCCUCAGCAUGGCGUGGGAGCACCAUGUCCUUGCCAGCUCCAUGGGAACGUUUCUGUCAAGUGGAGGAGGAGAUUCUGCAGGAUUUUGAGAUCUGCUGCACAUGCCUGGAGACCAGCAGAGGAUAGGCAACAGCUCACCAAAGAGAGCCUGCAGGUGCUGAUAUUUGUGCAGUCCCUGUGCCACCAUAGCAGGACCAGGACACCUGUGUUUGUGCAGAAAAUGCUGUGGGUUCUUCCCUUACCAUUCAAAGUGGAUCGAAGUCAAUGCUUUUUUUCUGGGGAAAGAGGGUGACCAGGGCAUCCUCCCUGCAUCCACAUCUGCCAUGAUUCCCUGGCUUACUCUUCUUGCCAUGAACAGCUUCAUGCUCUCCCAGACGGGCUUGGGAGGAUGCUCAGAAAGAGCAAGGCGGGACAAGGAAAGCAUGUGUAAAGGGAGAAGGAGAGAAGAAACCCGAGAAGACCAUUUUCUUCCCCCGCCAUUACCCAUGGAAAGGAGAGAAGAGAUGCAGUGGGCAGACAGCAGUAGGGACAUGGUGGUGGCUCUCAGCUGCCCUCUCCCAACUCCAGCAGCACAGCCCAAGAGCUCUUCCCAAAGGAGGAGCUGGGCAACAAGCAGGGCAGAGUCCACCAUCUCUUGGCUUUGGUGGCAAGAUCAAGAGUCAGAGGGAGGUAAAGAGAGGUGAUGCAGACCUUCAGCACCCCUCAUCUGUGGCACAUCAAGAGACUAUUGCAAGAACUCUGUUGCCCAGACAAGCAUUUCGGCCCUGCGCCUGCAGACCGGCUCAGAGGGAAAGAUGCCAG
rnacentral:lncRNA from 1 species